AACCUCACGAAGGUUUUUGGCCAGGAGA
rnacentral:sRNA from 1 species